rnacentral:misc_RNA from 1 species
CUACCUUCAAGCACGGCUUGUGUGUUGAGCAUUUUGUUCUAUUUUCAUGGAACAAGGCUUGAAAUGCAGUGACGAUGGCUUAAAUUGGUUGCCUGAGCGUAUAGGGCUUUGUCACACGCUCUUGUAGCUCCAGUUGUCCAUCUUGUUCCAACUUGUAAUAAAAGAAAUCGUG